rnacentral:tRNA from 1 species
GGGGUUGUGGCUCAGCGGUAGAGCGCUCACCUAGCACGUGCGGGUACUGAGUUCUAUUCUCAGCACCACA